GAUGAAGAACGUAGCGAAAUGCGAUAACUAAUGUGAAUUGCAGAAUUCCGUGAAUCAUCGAGUCUUUGAACGCACAUUGCGCCCCCUGGUAUUCCGGGGGGCAUGCCUGUCCGAGCGUCAUUGCUGCCCUCAAGCACGGCUUGUGUGUUGGGCCUCCGCCCCCCGGCUCCCGGGGGGCGGGCCCGAAAGGCAGCGGCGGCACCGCGUCCGGUCCUCGAGCGUAUGGGGCUUCGUCACCCGCUCCGUAGGCCCGGCCGGCGCCCGCCGGCGACCCCCCUCAAUCUUUCCAGGUUGACCUCGGAUCAGGUAGGGAUACCCGCUGAACUUAAGCAUAUCAAUAAGCGGAGGA
rnacentral:misc_RNA from 1 species